GUAACGAUAAUUGUUCCAAGCACUGUGCGCAAAAUCUGCUUGCCUCUGAUUGGUUAUUAAAUUAUAAGUGUUCCCGCCAACCACAAACUUUUGCGUCUCAAAGUAGGUAGGAAAGCCUCCGCGCAAAUGAUAUAAAUAGAGGCCUCAUAACGCAAACCGAGAUCAUUGUGUGCAAAUCUGUGACGAAGAACAGUCCAGCCUCCAGAGCAGCUAGCAGAGCAGAUCCUACCUGCAGAGGAGCACAGUGGUUGUGUGUCCAGCAACCGUGCUGAAGCCGACGAGGGACCCAGUCCAGUCGAGCAGCAACCAGCCUACCUGCAACCCCAACGAAGCCGGCGGCACCGAGGUGGAGUUCAACUCGCUAAGGGCCUGGUUUCUCAAAUUUCGCCAUCCCACCGGUGUCCACCGAUACGUGUGUGCUUUUGGUUGCAUCAAUUUUGAUCCGCAAGCUGCAGAUUUCCUGAGCUACCUACUUUGCAUGUGAAGGGAGAAGAUUUGUGCACGUGACUACAAACCGACGUAAGUCAUCCUGUGUGUGAACCAAAGCCGUUUAGUAAUUGCGACCUUUUUGUGCAGUGCCCUGAAACGCAGUCGGUUUUUAUUGUAUCCUGGAAGACCCGACUGACCGGCGGACCAGUGCAGAUCGUUGUUGCUGUCUGUUCCUGCCUCGCGUGAAUAG